GAACUUCUCUAAAGAAAGGAGAUGUCUGCAUGUUCAAGCUUUUAGAAUUGAUGCUAUUGAACUCAAUGUCUCCCUUUUCAGAAGGAAUUCAAAAUUUAGGCGUAAACUUUGGUAUGCCUGCAGAAAAAUCUCUGCUUCACUAUGUUUUGUCUAGUUAAUCAGAUCAAAGAAAGCAAAUCUUUCUGCUGCAAGUAAUGGAAU